rnacentral:lncRNA from 1 species
CUGAUGCUUUUGGUCAAAAGUCGAUCCCUUGUGAUAAAAAGUCGAAUUAGACAUUUUUGUCCUUUUGUGCUGUCCUAGGGUCUAUAAAUAGGACCCCUAGGUUCUUCUUUUCCUUCAUCCAUCCAUGGCUCUUCUUGUGAGUCUCUUUGCUGAUUUUAUUCAGGGAGAGAUUGAGGAGUUGGAUCGAAUUUUGAAUAUUUUGGAUCCUCGAUCGUCAACCUUGGAUCUUCCUUCUCUGCGCCAGCUUAUUGUUGAGCGGCAGAGUGUUGCUGUUGCUGCUAGGGAAUCCAUAUUUGAAGAAUGGUCUGGUGGCGAUCUUCCGCCCGCCUCUUCUUCUGUUGUCUCUUCUCGUGGCCGACGUCGGAGGCGUCCCCGUCGCGGUGCUUCCCCGCUGGAUCAGGUCCCUCGCCGCUUACGUCGCCGUAUCAAUUUUAAUUAGGAACCUGU